CGACAUAUAGUAUAGAAGUAUUUAUAGUUUCGGCCUAUAAGGUAAGUUAAUAACUUUUUGUCGU
rnacentral:tRNA from 1 species